rnacentral:lncRNA from 1 species
AAAGAAGAAAUCUUGACCUUAAAUGAUCACGGAACCAAAGUCCUCCAUCCCGUGGAACCCAGGGACUGGGACACAACUGGAACUUGAAAGUCGGAGUCUUAUCAGAAGUGAGGGGUCCCUCAUUCAGGAGGAUCCAAUGUUAAAAUUCCUUCCCUGCCUCAUCAGAAAUGUUUAGGGGCCAGUCCUGUGGCUGAGUGGUUAAGCUCGCACACUCUGCUCGGCGAGCCAGGGUUUUGCUGGUUCCGAUCCUGGGGAUGCACAUGGCACUGCUCAUCAAGCCAUGCUGAGGCGGCAUCCCACAUGCCACAACUAGAAAGACCCACAACUAAAAACAUGCAGCUAUGUACCGGGGAGCUUUGGGAGAAAAAGGAAAAAUGUUUUUUAAAAAUCUAACAGAAAAAUGUUUAGAACUCUGUCAUAAAAGUUUAGAACCUUAUCGUAAAUGUUUAGAAUCCUGUCGUAAAAACUUCAUCAUAAAUGCUUGAAGCCCACCAAUCAAAAUCUGUCCCACCAGUGUUUCUGCGUGCCAUCCUGUUCUCCCUAACCUCUUAAAUUUUGCCCCAAAUCCUGAAUUGGGGAGACAGAUCUGAGGGCACACACCCCCUGUCUCCUUGCAGAUCAAUCUUGCAGAAUAAAGCUGAUCUCUUUUUCCGCACGCAGGCUGAUGCCGUAAUUAAUCUGCUUCUUUAUGCACAUCGGGCAAGUGAACUUCACUUUUGUUCAGCAACAAUUUUAGCCAUUCUGAUUUUUGAUCACGUCUAAGAAGAAUAACAUCAAAAAAGAAGUUUAGGGGCCAGCCCCGUGGCCGAAUGGUUAAGUUUGCGUGCUCUGCUUUGGCGGCCCUGGGUUUCGCUGGUUUGGAUCCCGGGUACGGACAUGGCGCCGCUCAUUAGGCCAUGCUGAGGCGGCAUCCCACAUGCCACAACUAGAAGGACCCACAACUAAAAAAUACAUAACUGUGUACCGGGGGUCUUUGGGAGAAAAAGAAAAAAAAUAAAAUCUUUAAAAAAAG